rfam:Succinatimonas hippei YIT 12066 genomic scaffold Scfld729, whole genome shotgun sequence.
AUUUCCCUGGGGUGUUGGCCAGUCGCAUUUACCCUGAGCCGAUAAUACCAGAUCGGGGCGUCUCCCUGGUGAUUGUUGUGCAGGCCUGCUUUUUAGUACAGGAAGCCUUAUUUCAUCACAGGUGCUCCACUUGAACUUCAUGGUUCAAGGAGUCAUAUCGACAGCGGCACUUCCGGGGUCCUA